GUUUCCUUCAGCAGCACAUACAUUAAAUUUGGAAUACUACUGAGAUUAGCAUAUCUCCUGUGCAAGGAUUAAAUGCAAACUCAUGAAGUAUAUCAUUAAAGA
ensembl:snRNA U6 U6 spliceosomal RNA